rnacentral:rRNA from 1 species
GUGCCAGCAGCCGCGGUAAGACAGAGGGUGCAAACGUUGUUCGGAAUGACUGGGCGUAAAGCGCGUGUAGGCGGCUCGGCAAGUCGGAUGUGAAAGCCCUGGGCUCAACCCAGGAAGUGCACUCGAAACUGCCGAGCUGGAGUCCCGGAGAGGAAGGCGGAAUUCUCGGUGUAGAGGUGAAAUUCGUAGAUAUCGAGAGGAACACCGGUGGCGAAGGCGGCCUUCUGGACGGCGACUGACGCUGAGACGCGAAAGCGUGGGGAGCAAACAGGAUUAGAUACCCUUGUAGUCC